GGAGGAGUCGCCUAGUUGGUCUAUGGCGCGGACCUGGAAAGUCCGUUGGGCGGAAACGUCCUCGUGGGUUCGAAUCCCACCUCCUCCG
rnacentral:tRNA from 1 species